UCUCCAGACUCCUACGGGAGGCAGCAGUGGGGAAUAUUGCACAAUGGGGGAAACCCUGAUGCAGCGACGCCGCGUGAGCGAUGAAGUAUUUCGGUAUGUAAAGCUCUAUCAGCAGGGAAGAAGAUGACGGUACCUGACUAAGAAGCCCCGGCUAACUACGUGCCAGCAGCCGCGGUAAUACGUAGGGGGCAAGCGUUAUCCGGAUUUACUGGGUGUAAAGGGAGCGUAGACGGCGAUGCAAGCCAGAUGUGAAAGCCCGGGGCUCAACCCCGGGACUGCAUUUGGAACUGUGUGGCUGGAGUGUCGGAGAGGCAGGCGGAAUUCCUAGUGUAGCGGUGAAAUGCGUAGAUAUUAGGAGGAACACCAGUGGCGAAGGCGGCCUGCUGGACGAUGACUGACGUUGAGGCUCGAAAGCGUGGGGAGCGAACAGGAUUAGAUACCCUAGUA
rnacentral:rRNA from 1 species